AAUUAACACUGUCGACAUAACCUCAAAUUACCUCAACCGCUUGGAGUAUCAAUAUGAUGUCAAUAAAGUGUGUGAUAACAUUGAUUAUUUUGGAAGUUUUGGAGCAAAAAUUAAUUCCAAAGGGUUCUCUGCUGCGCUGGUAAUUUUUCAGGAAAAGCAUGCAGUGAUAAUUUGAUAUUUAAUACUGUUUGUGACAGGCUCACAACUGAAUAGUCAAGCGGCAAUUUAUCGAUUUAUUUAUUUUUCGUUCGUUCAAGAAAAUGAGACUUUCCACUAUCUUUCAAAUAAUAAUGAUUAUAACUGAAAAGUCGAUAGAAGUCGAAAGUAUCAUUACUUGUCAUGAAAAGAUGGCUUAAAAGUUAAGGAGACGUAGUUAUUGGAAUGACUGCAAAAAUGAAAAGUUGUAAUCUCUAUUGGAUUUGUAAUUCAUCUCCAUUCGGGCAAUUCAAUCAUCUGUCAAUUGUUCAGUGGUCUGUUCUGUUCAAGUUGAUAGGAUUUCUGCUUACAAAUCGGAGCUUUGUAAUCGACCAAAUUGCAAUCAACUCAUUAUGAUUUCAAAAAUUGUUUUCCGAGGAGUUAUUUUGGUUGGCUGAUUUAACUGGAACAUCCUGUAUAUAUAUAUAUAUUAAGUGAAACAGAGGACAUCAACACAAAUAUUUUGAUGCAAUGAACGUUGAAAUCGGUUGGAUAAUUUGUUAGAUAUUUACGAAAGACGGCCGGAAACUACCGCCGAUUUCCCAAAAAUUACUGGCUCUAUCGGGCGGAACUGAACAACAAAGUUGGCUGUCAUUAAUACACUGUUUUGCAUCGUUUCCAAGCAAAAUUGAAGAAUAGAAAAAUAAAAUGAUUACAAUGCUACCAUUUGAUAGCAAAAACGUAUAACUCCAGCAAUGAUAUCAUAAUGAAGACUGUCAUAACGAAAAUUAUUGUCUCCGAAACAAUCAUAUCCAUUAAAUAAAAAGGGCAUUUUAACAAUUAGUCCAUCCAAAACGUCUUUUCUCGUAUUAAUUUUGCUUCAGAUAUAAAUAUCGUAAAUAUCUCCUUAAAUAUCGUUGGCAGUAGAACAAUUAAUUUAUACAAAAUUAUUCCCUAUAAAAUUUCACACAAAAAACAGCACUACAUUUUUUUUCAUUCUAAUGAUUGUUUUGAAAAUACAAUCGCGCGAUGGCACGUACUCAAUUUUGUGGUUUUCUACCAACGAUCCUCUUGUGCACCUUUUUGGAUGGCUGAGGAAGGGAGGAGACGGCUCUUUACCUGCAUUACUAAUAAAAAUCACAAUAAUAAUGACCGAUUCGAUUGUUAUAAUUUAAAAAAUUUUCAGACCAUUUUCGUGAGUUAUUUUAUGAGUUUACUUUUGUAUUCAUGUUUUUAUUCCUCUUCUGUCAAUAUCUAUCGAGAUAUUGCAUAACAAUUAUAAAAUCAUGAAUUCCAAUUGUUUAAACAAUACUUCCGGGGUGAAUUUAGCGGAAAAUCGUUCGUCUUUCUCUUUUUUAACAUUCACAGGAGCAAUAGAAACAGCAAAAUCAUUUAUAGGAAUUUUGCGACUCAAAAAACCUCUGACUCCUGGACUAAUCCAAUAUAUUAACAAUUGUAAAAACACUUGUUUUUUUACAACUGAUGUUGAUCAAUACUUAUGGAGUACAUCCAUUUUGUCCUUUUACUCCUCUGGAGCUUGUUUUGU